CUAAGUUUGAUGGCGACCGGCGCACGGGUGAGUAACACGUAUCCAACCCGCCGAUGACUCGGGGAUAGCCUUUCGAAAGAAAGAUUAAUACCCGAUGGCAUAGUUCUUCCGCAUGGUGGAACUAUUAAAGAAUUUCGGUCAUCGAUGGGGAUGCGUUCCAUUAGGUUGUUGGCGGGGUAACGGCCCACCAAGCCUUCGAUGGAUAGGGGUUCUGAGAGGAAGGUCCCCCACAUUGGAACUGAGACACGGUCCAAACUCCUACGGGAGGCAGCAUG
rnacentral:rRNA from 1 species